GACAGAGGGUGCAAACGUUGCUCGGAAUUACUGGGCGUAAAGCGCGUGUAGGCGGUUCCGCCAGUCUGGUGUGAAAGCCCGGGGCUCAACCCCGGAAGCGCAUUGGAUACUACGGAGCUUGAGUCCUGAAGAGGAGAGUGGAAUUCCUGGUGUAGCGGUGAAAUGCGCAGAUAUCAGGAGGAACACCAAUUGCGAGGGCAGCUCGCUGGGACGUUACUGACGCUGAGACGCGAAAGCGUGGGGAGCAAACAGG
rnacentral:rRNA from 1 species